rnacentral:rRNA from 1 species
GACGAACCGUGCAAACGUUAUUCGGAAUCACUGGGCUUAAAGGGCGCGUAGGCGGGCCAUCAAGUCAGGGGUGAAAUCCUCCGGCUCAACCGGAGAACAGCUUCUGAUACUGGUGGUCUCGAGUGGGGUAGGGGCAUGUGGAACUUCCGGUGGAGCGGUGAAAUGCGUAGAUAUCGGAAGGAACGCCGGUGGCGAAAGCGACGUGCUGGACCCUUUCUGACGCUGAGGCGCGAAAGCCAGGGGAGCAAACGGG